AUAACUUUAAGUAAAUGCCUCCCACUUAAUUGCAUGUCCAGCACACAUCAGGUAUGUUUGGGUUAAAUUGGUGUAAGGUGAGGUGUAAGGGAACCCUGUGUCACAAAUUUAGACUCUUAAAAGUGGUGUUUAAAUUGAUUUCCAAUCGUACUAUGAAAUCUGGGAACCAAAUUCACAUGACCAUGCCCCGGUAUAUAAAAAGAGUAGAGGAGGGAACGAGCUGAAAAUAAAUAAGAGGACAUUUUCGCAUGUUACUUCUGGUUUGGACAAAGGACUU